rnacentral:pre_miRNA from 1 species
AGUGGAAUUGCUGGGAUAAAGGGUAGCUUUGUUUUGAACUUUUUGAGGAACCGCCAUGCUGUUUUCCACAAUGGCGGCACCCUUUGACAUUCCCACUAACAAC